UGGGGAAUUUUGGACAAUGGGCGAAAGCCUGAUCCAGCAAUGCCGCGUGUGUGAAGAAGGCCUUCGGGUUGUAAAGCACUUUUGUCCGGAAAGAAAUGGCUCUGGUUAAUACCUGGGGUCGAUGACGGUACCGGAAGAAUAAGGACCGGCUAACUACGUGCCAGCAGCCGCGGUAAUACGUAGGGUCCAAGCGUUAAUCGGAAUUACUGGGCGUAAAGCGUGCGCAGGCGGUUGUGCAAGACCGAUGUGAAAUCCCCGAGCUUAACUUGGGAAUUGCAUUGGUGACUGCACGGCUGGAGUGUGUCAGAGGGGGGUAGAAUUCCACGUGUAGCAGUGAAAUGCGUAGAGAUGUGGAGGAAUACCGAUGGCGAAGGCAGCCCCCUGGGAUAACACUGACGCUCAUGCACGAAAGCGUGGGGAGCAAACAGGAUUAGAUACCCUGGUAGUCCACGCCCUAAACGAUGUCAACUAGUUGUUGGGGAUUCAUUUCCUUAAGUAACGCAGCUAACGCGUGAAGUUGGACCGCCUGGGGAGUACGGUCGCAAGAUUAAAACUCAAAGGAAUUGACGGGGUCAUAGCUGUUUCC
rnacentral:rRNA from 1 species